CGUUCAGCCUGCCGCGCAGCCGGGCGCAGCCGCGUCCCGGCCCGUGCGCUGCUGCUGGCGGCGCCGGCUCCCGCUUCGGGGCGCCGCUUUACACCGGAGCGCUGCGCGUGUGCCUAGUGCUCGCGCUCCUUCGCGCACCGAGCUGCCGAUAGCGCCUAUAAAAAGCUUCUGAGCCAGCGCAGCGCUUGUGGGGUAUUAACGUCGAAGAAGGAAGCGUUUAGGUAAAUCUCCUCCAGACAGACUCUGGAGCAGAUCGUUUCCGAGCCCAGAUUGCGGUGUCCGUCCUAAUCCUGUCUGGGCAAAACGUACCAGAGGCUCCUGGUGGCUCAGAGCAGUCUGCGCAAGCUCCCGGAGCGCUGCGCCUUAUUCAGCAGAAAGAUGUCCGGAAUACCAGUUUACAAGAGGAACAGCAGAGAGGUCUAACUACAAGAACUGAUGGACMAUUACAUCUUCCAAAAAUGAGCCARUUCACGCUUUUCUUCUGGAAACGAAAAUGUCUUGAAGAGAGAAGUCGUCAGUGCUGGACUGUCUUAAACGUUACUCGUGAUGCAACUUCAGAGAGCAGCUUGAUUUAUCUCACUUGAAGAGGAGGCAUAUGUGCAGGAAGGCGAGAGGACAUGGGCUUUCAGUGCGUCUGGAAAAAUGAUCAGAUAACCCCUCUGCCAUGGGAUUUGGAUUUGCUGGCUCACUUGUUGCCGAUUCUGGGUCUGCUGUUYGGUGCCGUAGGUGGUGCAGAGCUGCUGCAUCUCCGGUGUCCUGCCUGCAGUGCUUCCAUGCGGCAACCAUCCGGUGCGAUCGGGAGCUCUCUUUGGGAAGCUCGUGGCCCACUUUGUGAUAAGGUGGGGGGCUCAUUUAAAAAGUGGCUUGGCACUUCUGCCAAGGCAGGCAGCACUCGUGCAUUUUGUCCUUUGUUCACAGCUGUGCCGUCUCUGAGACGACAGAGCCUGGAUCACGGAGGAGGUGGCUGCUGUCUUGGGAGGCAACCGGGUUCUGCUCAGGGAGAGGCCGAGCGUGGCAGGGGAGGAAGGAGCGAGAGAUGCAGUAGGCAGCCAGGAGCCGGCAGCUCGCGCGGGGAGGCUAAGGCAAUACCGACGGCCCUCGGGGAGGGGGGUGAGAGAACUUCCUAG
rnacentral:lncRNA from 1 species